AGCAGCCGCGGUAAUUCCAGCUCCAAUAGCGUAUAUUAAAGUUGCUGCAGUUAAAAAGCUCGUAGUUGAAUUUCGGGACUAAUAUGUUGGUCGUGCCUCGGUACGUACUGGUAUUUUUGGUUUCUCCCUUCUGACGAACCUUGAUGUCAUUAAUUUGGUGUCUUGGGAAAUCAGGACUGUUACUUUGAAAAAAUUAGAGUGUUUAAAGCAGGCUCACGCUUGAAUACAUUAGCAUGGAAUAAUAAAACAGGACGUUUGAUUCUAUUUUGUUGGUUUCUAGGAUUGACGUAAUGAUUAAUAGGGAUAGUUGGGGGCAUUAGUAUUCAAUUGUCAGAGGUGAAAUUCUUGGAUUUAUUGAAGACUAACUACUGCGAAAGCAUUUUGCCAAGGAUGUUUUCAUUAAUCAAGAACGAAAGUUAGGGGAUCGAAGACGAUCAGAUACCGUCGUAGUCUUAACCAUAAACUAUGCCGACUAGGGAUCGGAUGAUGUUAAUUUUUUAAUGACUCAUUCGGCGCCUUA
rnacentral:rRNA from 1 species